UACGUAGGCAGCGAGCGUUGUUCGGAAUUACUGGGCGUAAAGAGUGUGUAGGCGGUGCUCCCAGUCUGUUGUGAAAUCUCCCGGCUUAACUGGGAGGGUGCAGCGGAAACUAGAGUGCUAGAGGGUGGGAGAGGUAAGCGGAAUUCCUGGUGUAGCGGUGAAAUGCGUAGAUAUCAGGAGGAACACCUGUGGUGUAGACAGCUUACUGGACCACUUCUGACGCUGAGACAUGAAAGCGUGGGUAGCAAACAGG
rnacentral:rRNA from 1 species